ACAGAGGCCCCAAGCGUUACUGAGAAUCACUGGGUUUAAAGGGUGCGUAGGUGGUCCGUUAAGUUCGUUGUGAAAGCCCUGGGCUCAACCCAGGAACUGCUUCGAAUACUGGCGGACUUGAGGCUAGUAGAGGUCACUGGAACUGACGGUGGAGCGGUGAAAUGCGUAGAUAUCGUCAGGAACGCCAAUGGUGAAGACAGGUGACUGGGCUAGAUCUGACACUGAGGCACGAAAGCGUGGGGAGCGAACGGGA
rnacentral:rRNA from 1 species